rnacentral:piRNA from 1 species
UUUGUUGACGUAUACGCAAUU